rnacentral:rRNA from 1 species
UUGGAGGGCAAGUCUGGUGCCAGCAGCCGCGGUAAUUCCAGCUCCAAUAGCGUAUAUUAAAGUUGUUGCAGUUAAAAAGCUCGUAGUUGAAUUUCGGGAUCAAUACGUCGGUCGUGCUUCGGUACGUACUGGUGUCAUUGAUUUCUCCCUUCUGACGAACCAUGAUGUCAUUAACUUGGUGUCAUGGGAAAUCAGGACUGUUACUUUGAAAAAAUUAGAGUGUUUAAAGCAGGCUCACGCUUGAAUACAUUAGCAUGGAAUAAUGAAAUAGGACGUUCGAUCCUAUUUUGUUGGUUUCUAGGAUCAACGUAAUGAUUAAUAGGGAUAGUUGGGGGCAUUAGUAUUCAAUUGCCAGAGGUGAAAUUCUUGGAUUUAUUGAAGACUAACUACUGCGAAAGCAUUUGCCAAGGAUGUUUUCAUUAAUCAAGAACGAAAGUUAGGGGAUCGAAGACGAUCAGAUACCGUCGUAGUCUUAACCAUAAACUAUGCCGACUAGGGAUCGGAUGAUGUUAAUUAUUUAAUGACUCAUUCGGCGCCUUACGGGAAAC